GUUCUUGCUUCGGCAGCACAUAUACUAAAAAUGGAACAGUACAGAUAAUACUAGCAUGGCCCUACACAAGGAUGACACGCAAAAUCAUGAAGCAUUUCAUAGUUAA